rnacentral:rRNA from 1 species
CGUAGGGGGCUAGCGUUGUCCGGAUUUAUUGGGCGUAAAGAGCGUGUAGGCGGCCAGGUAGGUCUGGUGUGAAAACUCGAGGCUUAACCUCGAGAUGUCAUCGGAAACCAUCUGGCUAGAGUCCGGAAGAGGAGAGUGGAAUUCCUGGUGUAGCGGUGAAAUGCGCAGAUAUCAGGAAGAACACCAAUGGCGAAAGCAGCUCUCUGGGACGGUACUGACGCUGAGACGCGAAAGCGUGGGGAGCGAACAGG